AGUGAACGCUGGCGGUAGGCCUAACACAUGCAAGUCGAACGGCAGCACAGUAAGAGCUUGCUCUUACGGGUGGCGAGUGGCGGACGGGUGAGGAAUAAAUCGGAAUCUACUUUUUCGUGGGGGAUAACGUAGGGAAACUUACGCUAAUACCGCAUACGACCUACGGGUGAAAGCAGGGGAUCUUCGGACCUUGCGCGAUUGAAUGAGCCGAUGUCGGAUUAGCUAGUUGGCGGGGUAAAGGCCCACCAAGGCGACGAUCCGUAGCUGGUCUGAGAGGAUGAUCAGCCACACUGGGACUGAGACACGGUCCAGACUCCUACGGGAGGCAGCAGUGGGGAAUAUUGGACAAUGGGCGCAAGCCUGAUCCAGCCAUACCGCGUGGGUGAAGAAGGCCUUCGGGUUGUAAAGCCCUUUUGUUGGGAAAGAAAAGCAGCAGGUUAAUACCCCGCUGUUCUGACGGUACCCAAAGAAUAAGCACCGGCUAACUUCGUG
rnacentral:rRNA from 1 species